rnacentral:rRNA from 1 species
AUGUUGUCGGCUGCCACAAGAGCAAAAGUCCGUCGGGCGGUGCCUCUGUGGGGUCUCCCAGCCAACGACGAUGAAAUGAAGCUACAAGACCAGCCUGCUCUGUCUAGGGAUGCGGCAACCAUCACUGGACAGAAAUUCCUAUUCUUGAGCCUUGAGUUCUCUCCUCUCCCAGCUUGCACUCGUGACUGGCCGGAGAGCAACUACCGCAUUCAUGGUUUCAUCAAAGUUUCCACCAUUCUGAUUCUUCUUCUGCCUCCUAGAGUACCCGCUAUUCUAGCGCCAUCGCGGACUCGGAUGAAUCCGGUGCGCACAUUCUACCCUGCACUGUACCUGUUUGGUCCUUUUAAUCUUGCUGUCAAACAUCCUGACGUCCGUUUUUCUGUACGUUGGUUGCUUGAGUUAGACCGAAUGACGGCUGGGCCACUCUUGUGCGCGGGGCCAGCAAUUCAGCUUCUACUGCGGCUGUCGCGCGCGUGCGCUAGCGGUGAACGUGGGUGGCAGGGUGCGGGGUGGGAUGAAUAUUUUUUACCGUCCUGGCCUAGACCCGGCUGCGACUCCUCUGUUUCAGCCAUGAUGGGCCCAACUGUCGGUCUUUUGGGUGGCCAGUUGUUGGUUGGCGAGACUUGGGUGGGUGGAUGGUGCGUCGCUGCUUUUUUACCCGCCGUGUCUAUACCCAGCUGUGUUGGUGGCCCCUGCUUCGGGGUGGUCCCGUAUGGCAGCGUUUUGGGUGUUUGGGAGGUGUGCGCUUGCUUGUGUUGCCUGCCAGGGACCGUGCGACGCGGCGUGGGAUGGGUCACGUGGGGUGCAAUUCUGCUUUUCUACUCGCUCUUCAUCUACCUAGCUGUUUCGGUGUCCCUCUGCUCUUUUGGUCCCACAUUGCAUGUUCCCCGCUUCACUCCCCUCUCCCUCCUCUUUGAUUCCCCAUCCACCGCCGCCUCCUCUCAUGCCUCACCGCCGGCCUCCUCUAUGCCUCUUCCUCUACCUCUCGGACGACGCCUAGCUACGACGCUCAAUGGCCGCCCGUGCGACAUCCUGCAUCUGGCGCGGGAGCGUGUGGUGGUGACGAGCCGAGCCGUCUUUGUGACGGCGUCCGGACGGGGCCGGGCGCAAGGCGGAGCUGCGGCCGGCGACCCGGCACCGGCGCAUGCCCGGCGGUGGGACCAUCUUCGCCGUGGCCGGUGGGGGGUUGGGCGGCAGCAAGCGGUGCAGCGAGGGGAGGCGCACGGGCGAGAGGGAUCGAGAUGGAUGGCGCGACGACGACCAUGGCACAGGUCGACUUGGGAGCGCAUCCGGCAUCCCGGUGGCCAUGGUCGUGAUGUGAUCCACCCUGUGAAGAGGGUAAUUUCUGCUUGUGAUUUGGGCAAGGAUCUGGGUGCUCUUCGUUUGCUCACUGUGUUUGUUCCUAGGUUAGCACCGCUGUUGUCAGCGGGUAGAAUGGUCGACUGGCCAUGGAGCCCUCUGCGAGCAGGUGAUUCUGGUCACCUCCGGCGCCGUCGGCAUCGGGAGGUAGAGGCUCAUGUACCGAAAGCUCAUCGACAGCAGAACCCACAGUUCGACCUGGAUGGGAAGGCCUACGCUGCCGUCGGCCAGAGUGGCCUCAUGGCUAUCUACGAUACACUGCUUAGCCAAGUGGGUUUGCUAAUUGUUGUUCUUUCUUUUGUUGUUGUUGUUGUUGAGAUAUGUUGUUCGUCGUCUGUGUUGUUAGCCAGCAAGUCUGUGUCGUUAGCCAGCAAGCCAUGGUUGACACACGUAUUAAGUGGCAGUUACUCCGUACACAUAGAGGGACGGUUUGGUGGGGAGAGGUUUAUGAAGGCCUACUGGAAUUAA